rnacentral:rRNA from 1 species
ACUCACGUCAUCGACUUACCAAACCGAUGCAAACUCCGAAUACCUAUGAGUACUAUCCGGGAGACAGACUGCGGGUGCUAACGUCCGUAGUCAAGAGGAAAACAAUCCAGACCGCCAGCUAAGGCCCCAAAAUCAUAGUUAAGUGGGAAACGAUGUGGGAAGGCAUAGACAGCUAGGAGGUUGGCUUAGAAGCAGCCACCCUUUAAAGAAAGCGUAAUAGCUCACUAGUCGAGUCGGCCUGCGCGGAAGAUGUAACGGGGCUAAAACUAUGUGCCGAAGCUGCGGAUGUAUACUUUGUAUACGUGGUAGGGGAGCGUUCUGUAAGCCGAUGAAGGUGUGUUGAGAAGCAUGCUGGAGGUAUCAGAAGUGCGAAUGCUGACGUGAGUAACGACAAAACGGGUGAAAAACCCGUUCGCCGAAAGACCAAGGGUUCCAGUCCAACGUUAAUCGGGGCUGGGUGAGUCGACCCCUAAGGCGAGGCCGAAAGGCGUAGUCGAUGGGAAAAUGGUUAAUAUUCCAUUACUUCUGUGUAAUGCGAUGAGAGGACGGAGAAGGCUAAAUCAGCCUGGCGUUGGUUGUCCAGGUGAAAGGAUGUAGGCAUGUAUCUUAGGCAAAUCCGGGGUACUCUAUGCUGAGAUCUGAUAGCAAGCUGUACUUGUACAGCGAAGUGGUUGAUGCCAUGCUUCCAGGAAAAGUCUCUAAGCUUCAGUUACACAGGAAUCGUACCCGAAACCGACACAGGUGGUCAGGUCGAGUAGACCAAGGCGCUUGAGAGAACUCUGCUGAAGGAACUAGGCAAAAUGGUACCGUAACUUCGGGAGAAGGUACGCUGUUGUUGGUGAUGGAACUCGCUUCCUGAGCUGACGACAGCCGCAGAAACCAGGCCGCUGCAACUGUUUAUUAAAAACAUAGCACUCUGCAAACACGAAAGUGGACGUAUAGGGUGUGAUGCCUGCCCGGUGCUGGAAGGUUAAUUGAUGGGGUUAGCGUAAGCGAAGCUCUUGAUCGAAGCCCCAGUAAACGGCGGCCGUAACUAUAACGGUCCUAAGGUAGCGAAAUUCCUUGUCGGGUAAGUUCCGACCUGCACGAAUGGCAUAAUGAUGGCGGCGCUGUCUCCAGCAGAGGCUCAGUGAAAUCGAAAUCGCUGUGAAGAUGCAGUGUACCCGCGGCUAGACGGAAAGACCCCGUGAACCUUUACUGCAGCUUGACACUGAACUUUGACCUUACUUGUGUAGGAUAGGUGGGAGGCUUUGAAGCUGGAACGCUAGUUCCAGUGGAGCCGUCCUUGAAAUACCACCCUGGUAAUGUUGAGGUUCUAACUCUGUCCCGUGAUCCGGGACGAGGACCGUGUCUGGUGGGUAGUUUGACUGGGGCGGUCUCCUCCUAAAGAGUAACGGAGGAGUACGAAGGUGCGCUCAGCGUGGUCGGAAAUCACGCGUAGAGUAUAAAGGCAAAAGCGCGCUUAACUGCGAGACCCACAAGUCGAGCAGGUACGAAAGUAGGUCUUAGUGAUCCGGUGGUUCUGUAUGGAAGGGCCAUCGCUCAACGGAUAAAAGGUACUCUGGGGAUAACAGGCUGAUACCGCCCAAGAGUUCAUAUCGACGGCGGUGUUUGGCACCUCGAUGUCGGCUCAUCUCAUCCUGGGGCUGAAGCAGGUCCCAAGGGUAUGGCUGUUCGCCAUUUAAAGAGGUACGCGAGCUGGGUUUAGAACGUCGUGAGACAGUUCGGUCCCUAUCUACCGGGCACUGGAAAUUUGAGAGGAUCUGCUCCUAGUACGAGAGGACCAGAGUGGACGAACCUCUGGUGUACCGGUUGUGACGCCAGUCGCAUCGCCGGGUAGCUAUGUUCGGAAGGGAUAACCGCUGAAAGCAUCUAAGCGGGAAGCCUACCUCAAGAUAAGAUUUCCCUAGGACUUUAUGUCCUCUAAAGAGCCGUUCGAGACUAGGACGUUGAUAGGUUGGAUGUGGAAGCAUAGUGAUAUGUGAAGCUGACCAAUACUAAUUGCUCGUGAGGCUUGACUA